CUAAGGGGGCUAGCGGAUGGAAGUGCUAGUCUAAGGUCGUAGGAGGUUAUACAGGCAAAUCCGUAUAACAAUACUCCGAGAACUGAAAGGCUUUUUGAAGUCUUCGGAUGGAUAGAAGAACCCCUGAUGCCGUCGAGCCAAGAAAAGUUUCUAAGUUUAGCUAAUGUUGCCCGUACCGUAAACCGACACAGGUGGGUGGGAUGAGUAUUCUAAGGCGCGUGGAAGAACUCUCUUUAAGGAACUCUGCAAAAUAGCACCGUAUCUUCGGUAUAAGGUGUGGUUAGCUUUGUAUUAGGAUUUACUCCGAAAGCAAGGAAACUUACAACAAAGAGUCCCUCCCGACUGUUUACCAAAAACACAGCACUCUGCUAACUCGUAAGAGGAUGUAUAGGGUGUGACGCCUGCCCGGUGCUCGAAGGUUAAUUGAUGGGGUUAGCAUUAGCGAAGCUCUUGAUCGAAGCCCGAGUAAACGGCGGCCGUAACUAUAACGGUCCUAAGGUAGCGAAAUUCCUUGUCGGUUAAAUACCGACCUGCAUGAAUGGCGUAACGAGAUGGGAGCUGUCUCAAAGAGGGAUCCAGUGAAAUUGUAGUGGAGGUGAAAAUUCCUCCUACCCGCGGCAAGACGGAAAGACCCCGUGGACCUUUACUACAGCUUGACACUGCUACUUGGAUAAGAAUGUGCAGGAUAGGUGGGAGGCUUUGAGUAUAUGACGCCAGUUGUAUAUGAGCCAUUGUUGAGAUACCACUCUUUCUUAUUUGGGUAGCUAACCAGCUUGAGUUAUCCUCAAGUGGGACAAUGUCUGGUGGGUAGUUUGACUGGGGCGGUCGCCUCCCAAAUAAUAACGGAGGCUUACAAAGGUUGGCUCAGAACGGUUGGAAAUCGUUCGUAGAGUAUAAAGGUAUAAGCCAGCUUAACUGCAAGACAUACAAGUCAAGCAGAGACGAAAGUCGGUCUUAGUGAUCCGGUGGUUCUGUGUGGAAGGGCCAUCGCUCAAAGGAUAAAAGGUACCCCGGGGAUAACAGGCUGAUCUCCCCCAAGAGCUCACAUCGACGGGGAGGUUUGGCACCUCGAUGUCGGCUCAUCGCAUCCUGGGGCUGGAGCAGGUCCCAAGGGUAUGGCUGUUCGCCAUUUAAAGCGGUACGCGAGCUGGGUUCAGAACGUCGUGAGACAGUUCGGUCCCUAUCUGCCGUGGGCGUAAGAAGAUUGAAGAGAUUUGACCCUAGUACGAGAGGACCGGGUUGAACAAACCACUGGUGUAGCUGUUGUUCUGCCAAGAGCAUCGCAGCGUAGCUAAGUUUGGAAAGGAUAAACGCUGAAAGCAUCUAAGCGUGAAGCCAACUCUAAGAUGAAUCUUCUCUAAGCUCUCUAGAAGACUACUAGUUUGAUAGGCUGGGUGUGUAAUGGAUGAAAGUCCUUUAGCUGACCAGUACUAAUAGAGCGUUUGGCUUAUCUUUAAUAAAGCAU
rnacentral:rRNA from 1 species